rnacentral:rRNA from 1 species
CGGCGGACGGGUGAGUAACACGUGGAUAACCUACCUAUAAGACUGGGAUAACUUCGGGAAACCGGAGCUAAUACCGGAUAAUAUAUUGAACCGCAUGGUUCAAUAGUGAAAGACGGUUUUGCUGUCACUUAUAGAUGGGUCCGCGCCGCAUUAGCUAGUUGGUAAGGUAACGGCUUACCAAGGCGACGAUGCGUAGCCGACCUGAGAGGGUGAUCGGCCACACUGGAACUGAGACACGGUCCAG